rnacentral:rRNA from 1 species
AUGAACGCUGGCGGCGUGCCUCAUACAUGCAAGUCGAGCGAACGGACGAGAAGCUUGCUUCUCUGAUGUUAGCGGCGGACGGGUGAGUAACACGUGGAUAACCUACCUAUAAGACUGGGAUAACUUCGGGAAACCGUAGCUAAUGCCGGAUAAUAUUUUGAACCGCAUGGUUCAAAAGUGAAAGACGGUCUUGCUGUCACUUAUAGAUGGAUCCGCGCUGCAUUAGCUAGUUGGUAAGGUAACGGCUUACCAAGGCAACGAUGCAUAGCCGACCUGAGAGGGUGAUCGGCCACACUGGAACUGAGACACGGUCCAGACUCCUACGGGAGGCAGCAGUAGGGAAUCUUCCGCAAUGGGCGAAAGCCUGACGGAGCAACGCCGCGUGAGUGAUGAAGGUCUUCGGAUCGUAAAACUCUGUUAUUAGGGAAGAACAUAUGUGUAAGUAACUGUGCACAUCUUGACGGUACCUAAUCAGAAAGCCACGGCUAACUACGUG